AGAGUUUGAUCAUGGCUCAGAUUGAACGCUGGCGGCAUGCCUUACACAUGCAAGUCGAACGGCAGCACGGGGGCAACCCUGGUGGCGAGUGGCGAACGGGUGAGUAAUGCAUCGGAACGUGCCCAGUAGUGGGGGAUAACCAGUCGAAAGACUGGCUAAUACCGCAUACGACCUACGGGUGAAAGCGGGGGACCGUAAGGCCUCGCGCUAUUGGAGCGGCCGAUGUCUGAUUAGCUAGUUGGCGGGGUAAGAGCCCACCAAGGCGACGAUCAGUAGCUGGUCUGAGAGGACGACCAGCCACACUGGGACUGAGACACGGCCCAGACUCCUACGGGAGGCAGCAGUGGGGAAUUUUGGACAAUGGGCGCAAGCCUGAUCCAGCCAUGCCGCGUGCGGGAAGAAGGCCUUCGGGUUGUAAACCGCUUUUGGCAGGAACGAAACGGCGCAAGCCAAUACCUUGCGCUAAUGACGGUACCUGCAGAAUAAGCACCGGCUAACUACGUGCCAGCAGCCGCGGUAUACGUAGGGUGCAAGCGUUAUCGGAAUUA
rnacentral:rRNA from 1 species